GACUGUGCACUUACUAAGACAUUCCUGAUAACAUGAUUCAGCGUCUCCGGUAUUUGAUAUAAACAAAAGCAUAGCAAGGAACAACACCAAUUCAACUUUCAUUGCCAUAAUUGGGAAAGUUUACUUACAAUAUAGUGAGUUAUAUAAUAUGAAAAUUGUUAUUUUGAUUGAUGUAAAUCUAGGAAACAUAUGUUACUCCUCUGUUCUAG
rnacentral:lncRNA from 1 species